rnacentral:rRNA from 1 species
GAGUUUGAUCAUGGCUCAGGAUUAACGCUGGCGGCAUGCCUAAUACAUGCAAGUCGAACGGAGUAGCAAUACUUAGUGGCGAACGGGUGAGUAACACGUAUCUAAUCUACCAUUUAGUGGGGAAUAACUGUUGGAAACGACAGCUAAUACCGCAUAAUAUUGCUGGAUAAUUUCCAGUAAUGAAAGGAGCUUUCAAGCUCCGCUGAUUGAUGAGGAUGCGGCGCAUUAGCUAGUUGGUAGGGUAAUGGCCUACCAAGGCAAUGAUGCGUAGCCGAUCUGAGAGGAUGAACGGCCACAUUGGGACUGAGACACGGCCCAAACUUCUACGGAAGGCAGCAGUAGGGAAUUUUUCACAAUGGGCGAAAGCCUGAUGGAGCAAUGCCGCGUGACUGAUGAAGGUCUUCGGAUUGUAAAGGUCUGUUGUAAGGGAAGAAAUGGUAAAACAGGAAAUGGUUUUAUCUAUGACGGUACCUUACCAGAAAGCCACGGCUAACUAUGUGCCAGCAGCCGCGGUAAUACAUAGGUGGCAAGCGUUAUCCGGAUUUAUUGGGCGUAAAGGGUGCGUAGACGGUUUUGCAAGUCUGAGGUUAAAUUUAGGAGCCCAACUCCUAAUCGCCUUGGAAACUACAAGACUAGAGUAUAGGAGAGGUUAGUGGAAUUCCAUGUGUAGCGGUGGAAUGUGUAGAUAUAUGGGAGGAACACCAGUGGCGAAAGGC